rnacentral:lncRNA from 1 species
AAUGUGUAGGGAGUCUCCUGAAAUGUUGUUCUGUAGUCCCUAAGUAAAUAUCCAGCAAAUGAGGAUCUUCCGGGAUACUAUCCCAUAGUCUCAAACAUAAACAAACAUGCAGGGGAAUCUUCCGAAAUAUCAUUCCAUAGUCCCAAAGUAAAUAUAUACAAAUCAACCGACAUAAACAACAAUUUCAACAAGGAAUUCUAAAGUUUAGAUUAAGUUUAUAUCAAAGAAGACAGGUAAUUUAGCAUUAAACAUGCUACACAGAGUUCAGUUAGGUAGUUAAGGCAAUUAAGAGAGUUAAGGCACG